rnacentral:rRNA from 1 species
GACGUAGGAGGCGAGCGUUGUCCGGAUUCAUUGGGCGUAAAGAGCACGCAGGCGGUUUGGCAAGUCGGACGUGAAAAUCCGGGGCUCAACCCCGGACCUGCAUCCGAAACUGCCCGACUAGAGGUAGGUAGGGGAGAUCGGAAUUCCUGGUGUAGCGGUGAAAUGCGCAGAUAUCAGGAGGAACACCCGUAGCGAAGGCGGCACUCUGGGCCGAUACUGACACUGAGGAGCGAAAGCGUGGGGAGCGAACAGG